rnacentral:rRNA from 1 species
ACGACUACACUCCUACGGGAGGCAGCAGUGGGGAAUUUUGGACAAUGGGCGCAAGCCUGAUCCAGCCAUUCCGCGUGAGUGAAGAAGGCCUUCGGGUUGUAAAGCUCUUUCGCAAGGGAAGAAAACUUACCCUCUAACAUAGGGUGAGGCUGACGGUACCUUGAUAAGAAGCACCGGCUAACUACGUGCCAGCAGCCGCGGUAAUACGUAGGGUGCGAGCGUUAAUCGGAAUUACUGGGCGUAAAGCGUGCGCAGGCGGUUUUGUAAGUCAGAUGUGAAAUCCCCGAGCUCAACUUGGGAACUGCGUUUGAAACUGCAAGACUAGAAUAUGUCAGAGGGGGGUAGAAUUCCACGUGUAGCAGUGAAAUGCGUAGAGAUGUGGAGGAAUACCAAUGGCGAAGGCAGCCCCCUGGGAUAAUAUUGACGCUCAUGCACGAAAGCGUGGGGAGCAAACAGGAUUAGAUACCCUUGUAGUCCACCAAUCC